rnacentral:misc_RNA from 1 species
CUGUUGGUAUUGGCAUCUUUGAGGCAGUGGCUCUCUCUUUGGGAUGUGGACCAUUUCUUAACUUGAUGGGCAUAAAAUUGGAUUCACCGAUGCGGGUACCUGCAGAACGAUUUCUUUCACUAAGAGCCCUUGGUGCUCCUGCAGUUGUAGUGUCUUUAGCUCUUCAAGGCAUUUUCCGGGGCUUCAAGGAUACAAAGUCUCCUGUUUAUUGUUUAGCCCGGGGUAAUUUAUCAGCCGUAUUUUUAUUUCCCAUACUCAUGUAUUAUUUUAAGUUGGGUGUAAUUGGAGCUGCAAUUUCCACUGUCAUUUCUCAAUAUAUUGUCACCUUCUUAAUGAUUUGGGAUCUAAAUAAGAGGGUUAUAUUAUUGCCUCCGAAGAUGGGAGCCUUGCAAUUUGGUGUCUAUUUGAAAUCUGGUGGUUUUCUUAUUGGAAGAACUCUUGCUGUAUUAACAACGAUGACAUUAGCGACUUCAAUGGCUGCUCGUCAAGGUCCUGAAGCCAUGGCUGCACAUCAGAUAUGCAUGCAAGUAUGGUUGGCUGUAUCUCUUCUUACAGAUGCACUUGCGGCAUCUGGUCAGGCUCUGACUGCGAGUUAUUUCUCAAAGGGCAACUACAAAUAUGUGAAAGAAGUUACGAACUUUGUGUUGAAGAUUGGUCUGCUCACUGGUGCUUCCUUGGCUGCAAUUCUGGGUAUUUCUUUUGGUUCCAUUGCCACCCUGUUUACCAAGGAUACUGAAGUAUUAAGCAUUGUCAGAAUGGGAGUAUUAUUUGUUAGUGUUAGUCAACCUAUGAAUGCCCUAGCAUUUAUUUUUGAUGGUCUUCAUUAUGGUGUUUCCGACUUCCCAUAUGCAGCACGUUCUAUGAUGUUGGUUGGAGCAAUAUCUUCCGUCUUUUUACUCUAUGCUCCACCAGUUAUUGGCCUUCCUGGGGUUUGGUUGGGCUUGGCUCUCUUUAUGGGCUUGCGUACAGCAGCAGGAUUUAUCAGAUUACUAUCAAAAUCCGGUCCAUGGUGGUUCCUGCACAAAGACUUGCACAGUGCUCAACUUGCUAGUUGAGAUGUGAACACUACAGAAUCAAUUGGUAGACUAUUGGGGAAUGCUCUCAGACUAAGCUUUAGAGUAUUUCGUCCUCAUUCACUGGUCAACAAUUUUGACUAUCAGCUACUUCAGCAUAAUUGAAUGAUGUUGAAAGAAUUCCUCC